CCUACGGGUGGCAGCAGUGAGGAAUAUUGGUCAAUGGACGAGAGUCUGACCCAGCCAUGUAGCGUGAAGGAUGACUGCCCUCUGGGUUGUAAACUUCUUUUAUAUGGGAAUAAAAUGUUCCGCGUGUGGGAUUUUGUAUGUCCCAUAUGAAUAAGGCUCGGCUAACUCCGUUCCAGAAGCCGCGGUAGUACGUAGGAGCCGAGCGUUGUCCGGAUUGAUUGGGUUUAAGGGGAGUGUAGCUGGAUAGUUAAGUCAGUUGUGAAAGUUUGCGGCUCAACCGUAAAAUUGCAGUUGAAACUGGCAGUCUUGAGUACAGUAGAGGUGAGCGGAAUUCGUGGUGUAGCGGUGAAAUGCUUAGAUAUCACGAAGAACUCCGAUGGCGAAGGCAGUUCACUGGACUGCAACUGACACUGAGGCUCGAAAGUGUGGGUAGCAAACAGGAUUAGAUACCCUAGUAGUC
rnacentral:rRNA from 1 species